CCUCGACCUUACGUUGUCCAGCAUUCAGUUGGGCACUCUAAGGUGACUGCCGGCUAAAAGUCGGAGGAAGGUGGGGAUGACGUCAAAUCAUCAUGCCCUUAUGACCUGGGCUACACACGUGCUACAAUGGGCGGUACAAAGGGUCGCGAACCCGCGAGGGGGAGCCAAUCCCAAAAAAGCCGCUCUCAGCUCGGAUUGCAGGCUGCAACUCGCCUGCAUGAAGCCGGAAUCGCUAGUAAUCGCGGAUCAGCAUGCCGCGGUGAAUACGUUCCCGGGCCUU
rnacentral:rRNA from 1 species